GGCUGGAGAGCGGCCGGCGAGGACGUUGCCGGGCGCGUGGGCGCGCGGCCGGUCCCUCUCCGGCCCACCCCGGCCGGGCUCCGGCCGCGGGCGCCGCUCACCGCGUGUUUACUGCAGCCGCGCGGUGGAGAUCAGCCCCCGGAUCUGCGGCUGGGCCCGGGUUACGGCGGCAAAACCGCCUUCAGCUUUGCAUUUCCGGACUCUUUUUUUCUUUCUUCUUUUAAAUACUCUUACCCGUAAUUCAGCCUGAAUGAGGCUGCUGCUGCUUUUUUUUUUUUUAAAUCGAGUUUCCUGGUUUUAUUUAGGCUUCGUCUUCUGCACCCCUUUCUUUGAGAUCGAGGAGAGGGGAACAGGGAGAACUUUCUUGGGGACCAGAAUGGGGGGCACUGCUUUGCCGUCUGCGCCCUGCCUUGGUGGGGAGAUGGAGGUCCAGGGGGCCAGGAGAGGACUGAUAGGAGGCCCCGAAAAGUGCGCUCCCAGAGGGGAAGCGGGUGGGGAUGGGAUUUCCGGGGUCGGAGUGGAGUGGGGGGCAUCCUGGGGCGGCCCACGUACCAGGUUCUCGCACAGCACCCUUGGGAUCCCCCCAGUUUGCAGAUGGAGCGCUCUGGCGCCCUCGGAUGGUUGAGCAGCUUUCACUUCGUUCAGGUGUCCCCUGGAAGGAGGGACCUGCGGGGUCUCGAACCCCACCGUACCAUCAAGUGGGGCUUCUUCCCCCGGGCUCCUGCAGAGCCCCAGUGGCCGCCACCCUCAGAAAUGUCCUGCACGGUCACGCGUGUGUGCGGGGCGGUUGUGCCUUGGGGCCGGGAGCGGGUUCCUUCCCCAGGAAUCUCGGAGGGAAAGGUUCACUGCUCCAAAGGGACUUUGAAACCGAGGACUGAUCCCACUGAGCACUUCCCUAAGGGGUGCACACCGCUGGAGUGACUGACAGUGCCUUGGUGUUCUUGUCAAGUGAAUGGUACCACAGGGGACUCUUCCCCUCCAAAGAAGUGACUGUUUUUACAGAUGGUUUUCGGUUAACCAUAGGAGCUGAAUGAUGUCUCCAUUUUCACCGGAGGAAACGAAGGCUCAGAAAAGUUAAAUAACUUCCCGAUCCACACGUUUACAAUUGGCUGAUCCAGAAUCCCGGUUCCUUCAGAUGCCAGAGCGUUUAAUCAUCUGACCGUGUGGCUGCUUGCAGAUGAAGGAGAAGUUUGCUAGCAGUUCUCUUGCUGUGGGGACGGGGGACUCGGGGUGUCCUUUCAGAGCCACCUGGAUACUCUCCUGUAAACCCUUCUACCGUUACCCACCCGGUUUGAUUGAUGUGACAAGUGGGGACGAAGAUUCUUCUGAUUUAGCAGGCCGUCACCAAACACAAGGAGACAGAACAGAGCUUUCUCUGCUCUCUCUAGAGCAGAAAUUGCCAACCCUUUAGCCUUUCCAUGCCCUGCUGUGGCUUGAUUUCCUGACUGAGAUUCUGUCCACCCUGGCUCAUGAGGGCACUGCCUGGCACAUGCGGAGACAGAUAAGGAGCUCAGAGUCAGGCAAGGGCGGAAUGAUGCUCAUUGACCCCAAAGCAUCUUUAAUCUGCCAGGCAGAGGGACCUUUGCUGCUGGUCUUUCUUGGACCAUUCCAGAGAGGUGGGGACAUUCUGUUUUUCUAGAGAGUUGGCAGUCACUGGAUCAGUAAGAGGAUGCUCCUUGGAACUUCUGGGACAUUAGCUUGCAAGCUGAAUGUCGUCCCUUCAUUGUGCAAAUGAAGAAAUUGAGGUCAGAGACUGACACUGACCGAGCCUUGGCUGAACACCUGCCUUUGGUAUCUGGGGGUAGCUGGGUGUGAUUAGCAAGUGUGCAGAUUUGUCCCGUUUGCAAGCUGUGUGGGUACAUAUGUAUUCUGUGGGUGCACAGCACCAUCUUCCUUAUACAGUUGCUCGAGCAGCUACUGUCAUUUCUGAUGGUUCACGUAGGGCACGAGGUUACCUGAUGUCAUCCUUGGAGGCUUUUCCCCACCCCACCUCAUUUUUUCUAGGUGUUCAUCGGUACUUUCCAAACUUCUUUGUUAGUGUGGACCUCUUGAAAAAGAUCAAAGUACUAAGCAGAAUUUUAACCUCUAAAGCAGAUUAAAAGAGUGCCACUGUGGUACAAGUAGAGACUGGCCCAGAACUCCUCCCACUGAGCAGCUGUCCUACUCCUGCCACCCUCUGAAGGCCUUGGGGUGCUUCUGUGGAACCCCAGGACUCCCUGGCACAUAGGCGAAAACCAUGGAUUAUGUAGACCUGUGUAGAGGAAUUAGUUUCUUUCUCUGCUACACAGCUGUUUACACUGUCUUGAUUUGUGUUUCAGAAGAUGCCUUUAAAUCAUGAUUUUUAACCCUCCUACUUUUUGAUUUGUAAAGGAUACCUAUUUACUGUCGAAAGUUUACAAAAUACAAAAAAAUUACAAGCAUCACUCUUCUAUAAUCCUACCCCCCUCCCAAAAAAACCACUGUUUCCUUGUUGGAGUAUCCUCCCUGGAGAGUCUUCUGUGUGUGUAUCUUUGGAAACUUGAUUUUUAUUUCUUGGUAAAUAUUAUCAUGAACUUCCACAAAAACAUAACUGAAUGCAUGUGUUUAUCUCUGCUCUGUUUCAAAAGCCCACUAAAAUGAGAGUAGAGGAAUAAAAAGGUAUAAAUCCUUAAGAAAACAGAAAAUGAUGAUAGAGGGGGAGGGAUAUGAGCAAAAUUUUUGAAAGAUGGGAAGCAAGUGGGUGAAAGAAAAGCAAAGCUUAGAAUGUUGAAUGUCCUGGCUGUGAGGGAAGCAAGCUGGCUUGUACACACGACCCACCAAAGGCUAAAGAAUGGGGGCCACAGAGUGUUCCCAACGAUGGGGGCGGGGAGCGGGGCUGGAAGCAGGAAUAUUGGUUUAAAGUGUGUGUUAGAGCCACAGACCCCUCUCUCAGGCCACGUAGCCAGGCAGCUCCCUCCUCCACCAGCAGAAGAUGGCUAGUUUCCUGCAGGCAGCAUUGAACCAGAGCAGCAGAAGGCAGGGGAGGCUCUAUAUUGAGAACAGGAAGAUUCAGUGAAAGUUUGCAUGCUGAAUAGAUAGACCCUCUCCUAGCUGGUUCCCGGAACAUGGCAGCCUGGCUUCUACCCAUCCUCCAGGCAGGGGCCUUGAACUUCUCUCUAAGGAACCCAACCUCAUACGAAAAAACGCUACUUCUCAGCGACACCUACCAGGCAACCGGCCCUGCACAAGCACCUUUCAGUGCCUCUCUCUUAAAUUUGAAUGGGCAGCCUGGAUCAUCACACACCGAAUGAGUCCUCUAACAUGAAAGGCAGAGACCCAGAAGUCAUAAACAUGGUUGUUUUAAAAAAAGGCAUAUUUAUAAAACAAUAAUAAGCUCUUGGAUAUCAAAACUAGGAUAGUAGAAGUAGAAACUUCAAUAGAAUAAAGUUAGAAGAUUGAACAAUGAAUUUCUAGAAAGUAAGACAGAAAGACUUGAGGGACGGAAAAUAAGAAAGAAGAUAAGAAAAUUUGAGCAGUUUGGGAGGCCCAGUAUCCAUCUCAUAGGAGAGAAAUGGAGAAGGAAAAGUUAUUAAACUCCAGGAAAAAAAAAAAAUCUAGAACUCAAGAGUUUGCAUUAAGAAUCUCUGUGUAGCACUCAGCCCAACAAAUAAUGAGAUACAGUAUAUCAGGGACUUACCCGCUGGUCCAGUGGUAAAGAAUCUGCCUUCCAAUGCAGGGGACGUGGGUUCAAUCCCUGGUCAGGGAACUAAGAUCCCACAUGCCGCGGGGCAACUAAGC